rnacentral:pre_miRNA from 14 species
UUUCUAUAAAAUUUUGAUUGUUGCUCAGAAAGCCGUGCAUUCGAAACAUUCCGCUUUCGAGCAGUAAUCAGAGUCAAAUAAAAC